UACGUAGGGUGCAAGCGUUGUCCGGAAUUAUUGGGCGUAAAGAGCGUGUAGGCGGCCCGAUUAGUCUGCUGUGAAAGUCCAGGGCUCAACCCUGGAAUGCCGGUGGAUACUGUCGGGCUAGAGUCCGGAAGGGGCGAGUGGAAUUCCUGGUGUAGCGGUGAAAUGCGCAGAUAUCAGGAGGAACACCAAUGGCGAAGGCAGCUCGCUGGGACGUGACUGACGCUGAGACGCGAAAGCGUGGGGAGCAACAGG
rnacentral:rRNA from 1 species